rnacentral:ncRNA from 4 species
UACGUAGGGGGCGAGCGUUGUCCGGAUUUAUUGGGCGUAAAGAGCUCGUAGGCGGUUUGGCAAGUCGGGUGUGAAAACUCCGGGCUCAACUCGGAGACGCCACUCGAUACUGCCAUGACUCGAGUCCGGUAGGGGAGUGCGGAAUUCCUGGUGUAGCGGUGAAAUGCGCAGAUAUCAGGAGGAACACCGGUGGCGAAGGCGGCACUCUGGGCCGGUACUGACGCUGAGGAGCGAAAGCGUGGGGAGCGAACAGG